AAGAGCCCAAGACACUAGCUUGGAGUAAUUUGAAGUUUAUCUCCCACUGAUACCUUCAAACCUGAAAGCUUCUUGGGCGUCUCUGCUACACCCCUCAAGAAAAUUACCUGAACAAAGCUGUCCAAACACAGUAUGUCUGUGAUUCCAUCUCCCUCUGCACUGUGAAGCUGGAUUCAUGUCACCAGGUUGCUCAUGCUGUGUCCAGUCCAGUUCAACCCUCCAAAGAUGGAGCUCCUGCAAGUUCUGCUGAGAGCUGAUUGCUGCAAUGCAUUGGAAUCAGAUAAAAGAACUUUGUAUCUCGGGGAUCAAGCAGGUGCCACGAGGUGUCUCUUCCAUUUAGACUUGCAGGAGCCCACUCUGGAAGGGAUUACUUAAGUAUCUCAGGAUUCAGAAGUUAACACACUUCUUCAGCUGGAGACUGUGCACUUGUGCAUAGCCCUUCCAUGGCCAUGGGCUGUCUCUUGGAGGGGUCUCUCACAGCUGCCAGAGGAGAGGAUAGCACCGAGGGCCAUUUACUACAGCUCUGCAGAGAUGCUCUAAGAGCUCCCCUGAGGAGUGAGAACUGAGCCUUACAAGAGAUUGUAACAUCCUACAACUCAGAAACCUUCUUCUCUGCACACAAUGUGCCACGCAACUUCAGUGGGAUUAUAUACACCUACAUUUCCUUCACUUCCUGGAAAA